AGCAGCCGCCACGGUAACACGUAGGUGGCAAGCGUUGUCCGGAAUUAUUGGGCGUAAAGGGCUCGCAGGCGGUUUCUUAAGUCUGAUGUGAAAGCCCCCGGCUCAACCGGGGAGGGUCAUUGGAAACUGGGAAACUUGAGUGCAGAAGAGGAGAGUGGAAAUCCACGUGUAGCGGUGAAAUGCGUAGAGAUGUGGAGGAACACCAGUGGCGAAGGCGACUCUCUGGUCUGUAACUGACGCUGAGGAGCGAAAGCGUGGGGAGCGAACAGGAUUAGAUACCCCAGUAGUCCCUGUCUCUUAUAC
rnacentral:rRNA from 1 species